UCUGAAACUUUACUGUAAAUUUAAAAUAGAACAUUAGCAAAUAAAUGACAGACCACAUAUUAUUAUAGUAAACCAGAGUAAAAUUUUACUAUCAUUUAAACAGAGUAUCAGCAAAUAAAACAACUUUGACAUAUUAUCAAAGCAAUCUAAGUAAAAUUAAUCUAAUAGUGAUUGAACAAAUUAUUAAGAAUCAAAUAGUGAUUGAACGAAUCUCUAACUCUAACUCAAACAAUGAUUGAAAUGUAUAUCUAUGAGAACUUGAACCCAAGCCUUGAGUCGGCAUGCUAUACCAGAACCUCAAGCCCCUUACACUCAUCAAUCAUCAACAGGAAGUCAAUCUCCUACCCAUUAGUGUCUUCGUGAAGAAGCAAACUAAUGAAAAAACAAUGUUUUAAAUGAAACAUAUUUAAACCUGUUUAGUACCUUAAAAUCGAUCACGAAAUGCAAGAAUUUCAAAUGAAUUGCUGUUAAACGAAAAAAACAAAAAUCGAUCUUCGUCAUCUCGAAGAUUUCUCUAUUACUUCUCACAAAUCAUUUCCAGUUAUCGAAUCAUUGUCUAGAGUUUCAUAUGAGCUGUAGCAUAUAAAAAUAUAUGUGUACUAGAAGGAGGGUAAAAUAGCCCAUAAAAUUGUAGUCUUAUUAGAAUAUGGACUUUAUGCAUUAAAGACAUUGACCAGAGGGACUUUAUGCAUUAAAGAUUUAAAACUUGGACUUUUAGAAGGAAGCUGUUAGUGUGAAGGGCUUAUGGCCAAUUUUCUUCUUUUUUUUUUUCCCCUUCUUUUCUUCUUGGGUCAUAAAUUUAUGUUUGGACUUUCUAAAUGAUAAUCAUAAAUUUAAUUUCAAGACUAUAAAAUUGAAGUCAGUUGGGGAAGAGAAGAGUUUAAAUUUGGACAAUUGUUGUGCUCCCAUUUUAAUACUCUUUAUGCUACUAGGCUGAUUUUAAUUUUAUCAUUUUAAUGUGAUUGUUAAAAUACAUCAUUCAACAGUCAUAAUUAUAUAAUCAAACAUUUUCAGGUUGAAGUACAACAGUUAUGGACAAUAUCACUAUUUUCGGUCAAGGGAGUUUUUUUCCUCCCUUCAUAUAAAUUUAAGUACCUCUUUUAUAAUGUAAGACCUAUUUAUUUAAAAUAAAGCUUAUUUAUCUAUUUAUUUUAAACGUAUCAUAUCUAAUUUUCUUCUAAUAAAUGUUUUUUUCCUCAUACUUUAUAGGUGGAUGAAGACUUACACAGAGCGGUAAUAUCAAGAAAGAAAUGAUUUUUUUAACUUAUUUAUCUGUACAAAGUUUUAUUUAUCACUCUAAAGUUUUUGUAUAUAUAGAUUCAAUUUCUUCAAGAAAGAAAUGUUAAUGUUGUUGUUCGUGAUGAGUGUGACCUUAAUACUAUUCACAUUCAUGAGGCAAAGGCAAAAGAAAAACACAAAGCAAUAUCAAAGAAGACAGAAAAAGCUAUCCCUUCUAGCAAAGGAAAUGAACAUGCAAAUCUCGUGGCACAAAAUGAUAAUGUAAUAUCAAAAGCUGCAUUGGCCCAACGUGCACGACGAGAGCUUGAAAAAAAUGAAAAGUCACACUUUGAAUUUCAAUGCUUGCAACGAGAACAAGAAGGAUCAGAAGAAUGUAUUCAACUAAUACAACCUUCUUUAACACCAAUUCGUCGCAAUCGCGCUUGUCUAGAAUGGGAAACAAUAACUGAAGAUUCUUAUUCGACACCAAAACGAACAUUGGUUGUCCAUUAUUCUACAUGUUCGUUUUUUAUGCCAAGCACAUCUUUAGCUCCACAAAGGAAUCGGUAAACUACUCUGUCUAAUCUUGAAAUAUAUACUCUUAUUCAUACCAUUUUGUUUUAUAGAGUUUUAUUUAUACACAAAUAUUCGUAGGUCUACUCGUAUAAAUCAAUUUCUUCAAGAAGAUCUAUGUACUAAUGAUGAAUUAGAAGAUAUGCCUAUGAAUACAUUAAUUGAUGCCCAAGCACACAAAGAUUCUUACCGCCAUUAUCUUGGCAAGAUGUAUGUAUUAUGUCCUUAUUGUUCAGCCUUACAUUGGAUGGAUGGAAAAUUGACCAAAUCAUCUAUAAAACGUUCCUUAUUCGGAACUUGCUAUUUGGAAGGAAAGAUUAGGCUACCUUUACUUAUUACACCCCCUCCAUUACUUCUGGUGUUGUAUGAUGGGAAUAAUGAUAAAUCAAAAUCCUUUCGAAGUUAUACUCGAUUUUACAAUGCAGCCAAUGCUUUUAUGAGUCUUGGUGCUACAUUGGAUUCUAGAGUACUCAGUGGAAGGGGCCCUACAUCAUUCACAAUUCAUGGGGAAUUACGACAUCGAACAGGAUCACUACAACCACAACCAGGGCAGGAUAUGAGUUAUAGUGAACUGUAUAUCUAUGACCCUAAUUCAAUGUUAAAAAUUCGUAAUCAUAGAAAUCCUAAUUUGAAAAGGGAUGUUCUCAAAACUAUUCAUGAUAGUUUGUUGCAAGUCAAUGCAUUUGUAGCUACAU